GACAGAGGGUGCAAACGUUGCUCGGAAUCACUGGGCAUAAAGCGCACGUAGGCCGUCUACUAAGUCCAAUGUGAAAUCCCCCGGCUCAACCGGGGAACUGCAUCGGAUACUGGUGGACACGAGAGUUGUAGGGGUGGACGGAACUCCAGGUGGAGCGGUGAAAUGCGUAGAUAUCUGGAGGAACACCGGAGGCGAAAGCGGUCCACUGGGCAACUCCUGACACUGAGGCACGAAAGCUAGGGGAGCAAACAGG
rnacentral:rRNA from 1 species